GCCGGUAUAGCUCAGAUGGAGAGCAGCCGUUUUGUAAGCGGAAGCGCGGAGACUCGAGCCCUCCUACCGGCACCA
rnacentral:tRNA from 1 species